CAGCAGCCGCGGUAAAACCAGCACCUCGAGUGGUCAGGAGGUUUAUUGGGCCUAAAGCAUCCGUAGCCGGUUGUUUAAGUUUUCGGUUAAAUCUAUGCGCUUAACGUAUAGGCUGCCGAAAAUACUGGACAGCUAGGGAGUGGGAGAGGUACACGGUACUCAAUAGGAAGGGGUAAAAUCCUUUGAUCUGUUGAUGACCACCUGUGGCGAAGGCGGUGUACCAGAACACGUUCGACGGUGAGGGAUGAAAGCUGGGGGAGCAAACCGGAUUAGAUACCCGCGUAGUCCCUGUCUCUUAUAC
rnacentral:rRNA from 1 species